rnacentral:rRNA from 1 species
GACGAACGCUGGCGGCGUGCCUAAUACAUGCAAGUAGAACGCUGAAGGAGGAGCUUGCUCUUCUGGAUGAGUUGCGAACGGGUGAGUAACGCGUAGGUAACCUGCCUGGUAGCGGGGGAUAACUAUUGGAAACGAUAGCUAAUACCGCAUAAGAGUAGAUGUUGCAUGACAUUUGCUUAAAAGGUGCAAUUGCAUCACUACCAGAUGGACCUGCGUUGUAUUAGCUAGUUGGUGGGGUAACGGCUCACCAAGGCGUCGAUACAUAGCCGACCUGAGAGGGUGAUCGGCCACACUGGGACUGAGACACGGCCCAGACUCCUACGGGAGGCAGCAGUAGGGAAUCUUCGGCAAUGGACGGAAGUCUGACCGAGCAACGCCGCGUGAGUGAAGAAGGUUUUCGGACCGUAAAGCUCUGUUGUAAGAGAAGAACGAGUGUGAGAGUGGAAAGUUCACACUGUGACGGUAUCUUACCAGAAAGGGACGGCUAACUACGUG